CAUAUGAGUAACAUUUCUGUUUGUGUGCUGUUGCAACUAAGGAUGCUGUUACGUGUUUGUAGCCAACACUCAAUUAGUCUCAUAAAGUAUCGUCAAAAUCGAAUUGCAAAGCGUAUUGCCUCUCAUUUAAAAUGUAUUUAUAUUAAAUACAUAAUUUACACAAAAUAUAAAAUGUCAAAAUGUACCCUCCCAACAUAGUUUCUACUUGUCUAUAUUGUAAAACUGAAGCACAGACAAGAAAAGAAAUAUCCUUUUGUCUCGCCCUAUCAGGAUCUUACCUUGGCUUGUUGCUGGGUAACAAAUAAAACAUGUCAGGGAGCUCUGUGAUUGGCGCUCCCUUUACGCUGACAUUAAGUUAACCAAUCACACAUCACCUGUAAAAAAAAUAGUGAAGAUUUUUGCUAGCUAAAAGUUGUGAAGAUGCUAACAUAAACCACCAUAAACAAUUGCGGUAGCGGUGCUAGCUUUUAGGUAACACAUUUGUAAUGACUAAACUAUCAUUUAAAUUUUUAAUUGGGGAAGAAUGGAAGAUAUUUGGCCGACUGAAGACGCUUUGAAAAACCUUUUUGUGGACUAUUUGUCAUCUCUUCUACCAUCCAGGCAACAAGGAGUACUAGAGCUCUGCAUCCUUACAUGGUGAAAUGUGAGACUGCUCUGACCUCAGACGAGAAAGAGCGGAAGAUGCAGAGUGAGAGAAACAACUCGUCUGACACAGAAAACCACGGCAGGCCAGAGAAAACAGACAACGCCUCUGCUGCUAGUCAGCAGAGAAGGAGAAUUCUUCUCCGCUGGCCAAAGAGGUACGUGGAGACAUGGACCCUACGCCGGACCCUACGCCAGACUCUACGCCAGACCCUACGCCGGACCCUACGCCGGACCCUACGCCAGACCCUACGCCAGACCCUACGCCAGACCCUACGCCAGACCCCUGACGUGCACCUUUCGAAAAAUUUAACUACACAUCGCAGCGAUGCACGCGCUCAGCCGUGGCUUGGUAGAGUUGCAUCCCCCCCUACUCAUUUCCUGAUUCUCCUUCUCCAUAAACAACAUGAAAUCAAGGAGAGGGUUAACUUUUCCUGCUAAAGAUUUCGCUCAAUGGUGUUUUUUGCCUCCAACGGCGCCUUCCAGGCAGCUAACCCUAACCUUAACCCUAAACAUAACCAUUGCCGCGCUGCCUGGGAGGAGACGUUGGGGGCAAAAAACACCAAAGACCAAAGAUUUCUCACCAUGGUCAGAAAAGCACAGGGGAGACACUUUGUUUCUCCCACUAUGCCUCUCUACUAGCUCCGAAGCUAAUCUCCGUCACUCACUCUACCAGCCAGUCCUUACGCACACACACACGUCGAUCUCUUUAAGAGAAUACUCUUAAAGAGAUCGACGCACAUCUUGCCAACAUAAUUCACCUACACACCCCCCUCCUGGUCUCUCAGGUCUAUUAACCAAAAUCUGCUAUCCACGCCAUGCACUCGUCUGAAGCCAUGUGGGGAUAGAGCCUUUGCCGCUAUGGCACCCAGACUCUGGAAUGCUCUGCCAACCAGCAUUAGGUUUGCUGAGAAUGUGGACUGUUUUAAGGGACAAGUGAAGACUCACUUGUUCAGGCUAGCUUUUGGGUAACCUAUGUCUUUUAUUUAUUGAUAAUUCUAUCUGUUGUAUUUGUACUUUAUUCUAUUCUUAGACUAUGUUCUACUAUGUUUUAUCGUCUAUGCACAUUGUAAAGCACUUUGUGACCCUGUCUGUGAAAAGCGCUGUAUAAAUACAUUUUACUUACUCAUUUACUUACUUACUCACUAGAACACUAAAUAUGUAUUCAUCCGCAGCUGAAAAUAGUCCCAAACAAAUGCACUAAUUCCUCCUGUUUGGCUAAGGUUUGUUUGUGCCCAGCUGUUUUAGCAGAUUACAUAUUAUAUAAUAUGUUGUAUAUCUGUGAGCUGUUGUUAAAUAUUUACAUCUAUAUGUCGAGGUGCAGUUUUAAAUCACCGUGGUAUGCCUUUAAUUGUGAGAGAAAAUGUGCUUUUAAUGAUGUUGUGCUCAUGCUUAACAGCUAAAUGAUCCCUGUUGCUACUUGUUUUACUUUCUUUUUCAGUGUUAGAUCUUUAUCGUAUGAUCCAAGUUUCCCAAAAUUGACAUCAUCCAAAUGCUAUGAUUACAUUCAAAAAUAACUUUCGGCUCAGCGAUUGUGUUUGUGAUGGGAAACCACAACUCAAGCUACAUAUGGGUCGAAACAUUUCCCCUUCAGCCGUUUUCAGAACAAAACGAGGGCACACCACCUAUUGAUACCAAAUAUUUAGCUGACAUACAUUUUUGCACAAUAUCUGCUACCAUUGUAGUUGGAGUGUAACAUACAUUAGAGGUUUGAGUUUGCAGCUGCAGCAGUAGGAUUGUUUAUCAAAGUAAAUUACAACAUUUUAAACUUGUUGCGGUAUGUAUGACAAUUCACCUGGGGGAUGCUGUUGUCUGUAA
ensembl:lncRNA